UAGAGAUCCUGAGGCUUUGGGUCAGCAGGCUUGGCCCUUUCAGAAACCCCAAUAUUUCACAGAUAAUAUAGAUUUUGAAGUGGGCCAACUCAAAGCCCUGGAUCUGGGCCUGGGUUGUAGCUGAACUGCUCAGUGCGUUAAAAGUUAAAGUUAAAAUAUCCACCACCAGGGCAAGCUCUCCAGCACUGCUCCAGCUAGACCAACCAACGCUACCACCAGUAAGAAUCAGGGGCAGCUCUCCUGCUCCCAUGCCCUUGGAUCAGCUCAUCUGCACCCACACCUGCAGAGCCAGCUCCACUGUCCUGUCCACUGGAGUGAAUGGAGGUGAAUUCAGACCCUUAGCUGCAUGAGAUGCUGAGAAGAAAGCCCCAUCAAGGAUGCAGCUCUAAAAGUGACAUUUAUAUAACCAUUUUAAGACUCUGGAAUGCCACCAAAGAUGAAAACCUAAAAGGUAGAACUCCCUUCUGCGACUGAGAAAAUGGGAAGAAAAUGUUCUCAUGAAGUCAACAGUUGCUAACAGUGCGAGUAUUUUUAGACAUGAUCUCAUAUUAUACCCCAGGAUGCCUGGGAUUCAUCAAAGAACCCAGGCUCGAAUUUAGCUCACAGAAAUCUUUCUGCCUCCGCCAUCAAAGUGUUUAUAUUACAAGCAUGAGUUAUCACAGCUGAAGCUCCUUUACAUCUUACUGUGAUCUUCAGUGUGGAUGAUCUUGAAAUUCAGAAGUGUCAGCCUGCAGCACGGUUUGAAAAUGACUUGUCCAGUUGUGAAUUUCCUGGGCCAGGAAUUUGUCAACCAGACAUGGAAUGCCAAUUUAUUCAUAUUUACACACUAAAAUAACAAUACUACAAUUAGUAGCGAUGAGUUUUUGAAGAAAAGCUGAGAUGCCAUGCAAUGUGGGACAGGCUGAGUCAUUGCAAUCAGCACUCAGGACAAAUGCUGAAGUUACGUUUGAAGACAGUUACCACAGAGAACCCAGACAGAAAAAGUUAAGAAGUAUAUUCAAUGUCCAAGAACAUGAUACAGCGUGCAAUGCCAGCCUACAAUGAUGGCCACCUGUAUUACAAUGAGUAAAGCCAUGGGGAUAAUGAUACUCCAUCUCCUGGGAGCUUAACCCAGUGUGUUUCUGAUGCUAAGAUAUCUACAGAAGCUGAAGGCAUGGGUCUUGAGGCAAGUGUUUGCUACAAGACAUGAGGCGAGUACUGUGUAUGGAUCCCCAGCAUCUUUGCAAAUCAGUACAGCAAUGUAAAAUCUACAAUUUUCACAAUUACUCUUCAAAGUUGGCGACUGAAGGACCUUCCUGGCGGGUAACGAUACAGAAGUGCAGCUGGACCAGCUAAAGCCUGCUUGCAGAGCUGCCUCUUUCAUGGCUACCUCAUAAUUAGACAAUGGUCGCUUUGUCUACAGGGGUCUGCAAAUGCUCUCCUCUCCAAAGAAAUGAUCACUGAUGAUAUUUAUUACUGUUACACUUUAUGUCUUUGAAACAUACCAACAGAGAGUUCAGAUUUGAAUUUUUUAAUUCAAAUGGAUUUUAAUUAAGCAGAAAGCUUGCAACGGAAGAGAAAGGCUUCUUCCAAGAGGAUCCAUUGCUUCCUGUAGGUUUUUUUUUCUUUCUGUUUUUGUUGUUUAGGAUAGGCUGUUUUGUUUAGAGGAUAGGCUGCUAAAACUAACCUUCCACUUUUUUUCUCCAGGGAGAAAAAUAAUCUGAGCUAAAGAUAAUCUGUCCAUUAGUUUUAUUAAUAGUGUUCAGCUUUCUUGGCAUGCUUGAGAAGCAGACAGACGUGAGCAUCACAUCUGCAAGCACUGUCACCGCUCCUGAAGCCUUUGGUGAGAGCAGGAAAGUGUACUAACGAGAACUACGAAUGGCCUUUGGAGAGCAAUAGGCUUACCUUAGACCGCGCCUGGCUUCUCGGAACACAAGUUGCUCCAUAUUCCUGUUAGUUCUCAUAGAAGACUUGACCCAGACUCAUUUUUUAUUUUGAAGUGCCAUUUUCAAUUCUAAACUCUGUUCUUAUCCUUUUUGGAUCAUUUAACUUGAGCAUAAUAAUAUCUACCUGGUGUCCUGAUUCUAGUAUGUAUAUCCAAUGGACUCUGUACAAAACCUUAGAUAUUCAGAUUGCUGGACAUAUAUUUUUUUUCCAUUUUUCAAAUGUUUGGCUUUUUCAUUCUGCAAAGUCUUCUAGCACUUAGGUGUCAUUAGCAUUAGGUGUCUAAUGAAACCUAUGUUACAAACGAGUUAGAUUUCAACUCUACAAAUAAUUUUGUCAUGAAAAAUAUCAAACACAUUGGAAACACACAUCUAGGAGCAAUGUGAAGCACAGAAUUGUGUUUAGCCAGAGCACAAUUUUGUUUCAAUGUUUUCUUUCAUAAUUUAUGCUCCUAGUAUCAUUAAAUAAAAUGCCUUAUAAGGGUCUCUUCAUUAUGCAUGUUAGCCAAAAGAAUGAGAUAGGCUUACAUGGCUGUAUUUCAUUUGCACAGAGCACUGGCCAAGCAUAAUCAUUUGGAGAAGUAAUAAAGUAAGAUAUUGUUGAGA